AACCACCCCUGCCCCCAAUGAACAAGGCCCUGGCCGCUGCACAGCGACCAGGGCCUUUGCGUUGGCCAGGGAUCAGA
rnacentral:sRNA from 1 species